CUAAGAAUAUUCCGCAAUGGACGAAAGUCUGACGGAGCGACGCCGCGUGGAUGAAGAAGGCCGCAAGGUUGUAAAAUCCUUUUGCUGGGGAAGAAUAAGCGCAGGAGGGAAUGCCUGCGUGAUGACAUGAACCGGCGAAUAAGCCCCGGCCAACUACGUGCCAGCAGCCGCGGUAACACGUAGGGGGCAAGCGUUGUUCGGAAUUACUGGGCGUAAAGGGCAUGUAGGCGGUUUAGUAAGCUUGGCGUGAAAGACCACGGCUUAACUGUGGGGUUGCGUUGAGAACUGCUGAACUUGAGUUACGGAGAGGGAGCUAGAAUUCCUGGUGUAGGGGUGGAAUCUGUAGAGAUCAGGAAGAAUACCGAUGGCGAAGGCAAGCUUCUGGCCGAUAACUGACGC
rnacentral:rRNA from 1 species